UCUUACAAAGUCAUUACAAAUCUAAAUUAUUCAAAACCAAUGCUCAUAAAAAUCUUAUCUAGUCUGCUAUCAAAUCCCACUCUUUGAUUUGCAAAAGAAUCCUAGAAUCGUCGUUGAGACUUGGUUUUGUGCCUUAGGGUCUGAUUUCGACCCUAGUUCAUAACCGGCCCUCUUCCAGUAUCAAUAUCUAAUUUUUCUAAGUAAAUUUUGCUAGAAUUUACUCUUAACUUCCUUCUAAAGAUGUUUGUAUCAUUUAUUUUUUCAAUCUACUUUUUUUUGCCUUAUUUAUGGUCCUACAAAGUAAGUAGAAGUCACCUUUCUAAAAAGGCAGUAUUAGUACCUUUUAGUUUUAUUAUCCUUUUGACCAUUAACUAU
rnacentral:lncRNA from 1 species